GACGAACGCUGGCGGCGUGGAUUAGGCAUGCAAGUCGAACGGUAUCAUCCUUUCGGGGGUGAGAGAGUGGCGAACUGGUGAGUAACACGUAGGUUAUCUACCCUCAAGACGGGGACAACCCAGGGAAACUUGGGCUAAUACCGGAUGUGAGCAACUUUUAGUUGUUUGAAAGGUGGCGUAAGCUGUCGCUUGGGGAUGAGCCUGCGUCCUAUUAGUUAGUUGGUGAGGUAACGGCUCACCUAGGCAAUGAUAGGUAGGCGGCCUUAACGGGUGGUCGCCCACACUGGGAUUGAGAUACGGCCCAGACUCCUACGGGAGGCAGCAGUCGAGAAUAGUCUACAAUGGUCGGAAGACUGAUAGUGCGACGCCGCGUGAACGAUGAAUCCCUUCGGGGUGUAAAGUUCUUUUAUAUGUGAGCAGUGCUUUCUAUAUUAACAGUAUGGGGAAGAGAUAUUAGCAUAUGAAUAAGCAACGGCUAACUCCGUGCCCAGCAGCCGGGUAA
rnacentral:rRNA from 1 species